rnacentral:tRNA from 1 species
UGGUGCAGUCGGUAGGGUGCUCAACUCUCAUUCGUGAGGUCAUCGGUUCGAGCCCAGCUUUCGC